rnacentral:rRNA from 1 species
AUUGAACGCUGGCGGCAGGCCUAACACAUGCAAGUCGAACGGUAACAGGAAGAAGCUUGCUUCUUUGCUGACGAGUGGCGGACGGGUGAGUAAUGUCUGGGAAACUGCCUGAUGGAGGGGGAUAACUACUGGAAACGGUAGCUAAUACCGCAUAACGUCGCAAGACCAAAGAGGGGGACCUUCGGGCCUCUUGCCAUCGGAUGUGCCCAGAUGGGAUUAGCUAGUAGGUGGGGUAACGGCUCACCUAGGCGACGAUCCCUAGCUGGUCUGAGAGGAUGACCAGCCACACUGGAACUGAGACACGGUCCAGACUCCUACGGGAGGCAGCAGUGGGGAAUAUUGCACAAUGGGCGCAAGCCUGAUGCAGCCAUGCCGCGUGUAUGAAGAAGGCCUUCGGGUUGUAAUGUACUUUCAGCGGGGAGGAAGGGAGUAAAGUUAAUACCUUUGCUCAUUGACGUUACCCGCAGAAGAAGCACCGGCUAACUCCGUG